rnacentral:lncRNA from 1 species
UGCUUUUGCAUUUAAAUGGGUGUGGUUGAAGUUUAUCUUGUUUACCUUAUCAUUGUGUGGAAAAAAGUUUUGAAAUCUUGUUGGAUUUGUCACAAUAUGCCUGUUGCCUAGCCCUACCAAAAGUGUUCUUAUCUAGCGACCACACUGGAUAGGUGGUGGCAUGAUCUCACU